AAAUUGAAGAGUUUGAUCAUGGCUCAGAUUGAACGCUGGCGGCAGGCCUAACACAUGCAAGUCGAGCGGUAGCACAGAGAGCUUGCUCUCGGGUGACGAGCGGCGGACGGGUGAGUAAUGUCUGGGAAACUGCCUGAUGGAGGGGGAUAACUACUGGAAACGGUAGCUAAUACCGCAUAACGUCGCAAGACCAAAGUGGGGGACCUUCGGGCCUCAUGCCAUCAGAUGUGCCCAGAUGGGAUUAGCUAGUAGGUGGGGUAAUGGCUCACCUAGGCGACGAUCCCUAGCUGGUCUGAGAGGAUGACCAGCCACACUGGAACUGAGACACGGUCCAGACUCCUACGGGAGGCAGCAGUGGGGAAUAUUGCACAAUGGGCGCAAGCCUGAUGCAGCCAUGCCGCGUGUGUGAAGAAGGCCUUCGGGUUGUAAAGCACUUUCAGCGGGGAGGAAGGCGUUAAGGUUAAUAACCUUGGCGAUUGACGUUACCCGCAGAAGAAGCACCGGCUAACUCCGUGCCAGCAGCCGCGGUAAUACGGAGGGUGCAAGCGUUAAUCGGAAUUACUGGGCGUAAAGCGCACGCAGGCGGUCUGUCAAGUCGGAUGUGAAAUCCCCGGGCUCAACCUGGGAACUGCAUUCGAAACUGGCAGGCUAGAGUCUUGUAGAGGGGGUAGAAUUCCAGGUGUAGCGGUGAAAUGCGUAGAGAUCUGGAGGAAUACCGGUGGCGAAGGCGGCCCCCUGGACAAAGACUGACGCUCAGGUGCGAAAGCGUGGGGAGCAAACAGGAUUAGAUACCCUGGUAGUCCACGCCGUAAACGAUGUCGAUUUGGAGGUUGUGCCCUUGAGGCGUGGCUUCCGGAGCUAACGCGUUAAAUCGACCGCCUGGGGAGUACGGCCGCAAGGUUAAAACUCAAAUGAAUUGACGGGGGCCCGCACAAGCGGUGGAGCAUGUGGUUUAAUUCGAUGCAACGCGAAGAACCUUACCUGGUCUUGACAUCCACAGAACUUUCCAGAGAUGGAUUGGUGCCUUCGGGAACUGUGAGACAGGUGCUGCAUGGCUGUCGUCAGCUCGUGUUGUGAAAUGUUGGGUUAAGUCCCGCAACGAGCGCAACCCUUAUCCUUUGUUGCCAGCGGUUCGGCCGGGAACUCAAAGGAGACUGCCAGUGAUAAACUGGAGGAAGGUGGGGAUGACGUCAAGUCAUCAUGGCCCUUACGACCAGGGCUACACACGUGCUACAAUGGCAUAUACAAAGAGAAGCGACCUCGCGAGAGCAAGCGGACCUCAUAAAGUAUGUCGUAGUCCGGAUUGGAGUCUGCAACUCGACUCCAUGAAGUCGGAAUCGCUAGUAAUCGUAGAUCAGAAUGCUACGGUGAAUACGUUCCCGGGCCUUGUACACACCGCCCGUCACACCAUGGGAGUGGGUUGCAAAAGAAGUAGGUAGCUUAACCUUCGGGAGGGCGCUUACCACUUUGUGAUUCAUGACUGGGGUGAAGUCGUAACAAGGUAACCGUAGGGGAACCUGCGGUUGGAUCACCUCCUUA
rnacentral:rRNA from 1 species